CGAAACACAAUCAUAGGAUGAAAGAAAGCAAAAAACCCAGCUGGCACCUGCUGGGAGGGCGGGGAGAGAGAAUCUGGCAGACAGGAGGUUCCUACAGAGAUUGCCAACACUACUACACGUCUGAUUUGCUUUUUUGGGCAGCAUGUUGAAUCCAAAGGUGAUAAACAUUUGGCUUGGCUGGCCAGACAAGAUGCGCCCGCAUCAGACACGGCGCUCGCUCUCCUCUCUCUCACUGGCGUCUCUGCGCCUCUCAAGGCAGCUCCUUCUGCUGUGCUUCACAUCUCCAGCCCUCGAGUUUCAGGGAGGAUUGAGGCUCUGCUGGAGUGAAACACAUCAGUGGGAAUAGCUGCUCCCUUGCAAAGAGCUGGCUGGCUGGCUGGGCUGCUCGCUACCAGACAUCUGGACAGCCAAUUCCACUUUUCAGUUUGCAGCACAACACAGGGAUUGUUGUUAGAGGAUAUCUUUGAACCUCAGGAAACUUAGCUAUCUUUAGCAUUUUUAGGACAACAGCUUUAUUUACAACUCAGUGCCACGGAAAGACAAAUGUUUAACCAAACUGGGAAUGACUUUGUUCUCCAAAUACUUUCAGUGAGGAGGGGUGACUAUGAAGUGAGAAAAAAAAGAAAAACCUCACUGUUGUCUGAGCAACAAGAGAGGUUAGUAAAGAUUCUUGACUACCCUUUCCCUAGCUCUGAAGUCAUGAAGAAAGUGCUACAGCCCAGCUGUGUAGCAUUUUGUGUUCUUUUUGCACCACCUUCUUUCUAUAAACACCCAGUGGUUUCGCUGUGCCAUGGAACAUGCAGGAGUGCAGGAGAGAGGCCAUAAACCAGGCUAGGGAGCUCCUUAGGAUGACUGUGAAAUGGUGUGACAGGCUGGGCUCUGGUACCUGCUCUGCUGCCUUUCACAAAGUUCCUGUUGCCCAGUACCAACAGGAACCUGUCCUGCCUGUGGCUGGGCAAGCCCAGGCUGUAUUUCUCAUUUGAUGUGAGUUAUGGCUCCCAGGGAGCAGCAAACCUGUGGACUUCUCUGUCCCUGAGCAAGAGCUUGUCACAACAAUUUGCUCCUCUGGGUCUGUGGACUGAAGACCCCUCACCAAACAAGAGCUCAAGCCAAGGGAAAGGAGCCAACCCCCUGUGAGAACCAGAGGAAUCCAAACAGCAGCAAGACUCAGGACAGAAACCAGACUCACAGAGGCCCAAGAAUGUUGGAUUGCACAGACACUGUGUUUUACAGUCUGGCCUCCUGGCCCUAAUAUCCUCUGACAGCUCCCAGAGCAGGUUACAGCGACUGGAUCACGACACCAACUCCUGCGGGAGCUGCUGCUCCAGAGGCCCCUCUGCCAGGCCUCGGCACAGCACGCAAGGAGCUGCAAGGAUGUGCAGCCUCCAGAGCUUGCAGCACUGACUUAUCUUCACAAGAGAAAUACUGGCCAAAUGCUGGCUCCAGCCCAGUCCUUAAAAACUGGAGUUUUGGAAGGCAGCUUCAGCCAGGCCCUGGUAAAUGAGUGCUAGUUUGGUGGCUAAUUGCUUAUGAAAACAGCAGGAACAAACUCACUGUCCGUGUCACCAAAGCCCACAGAAAAAUCAACCAUUUGGUGUCACCCAGCCCAAAUCAAACACUGCCCGACUGAGCAGUGAAAUUUUGUUUUUAACUCCACAUCUGUCAGGCUGCAGAAGUGAAAAAGCUACGCUGGGUAGCUGGGUUCAUCAGGAAUUUGUUAAGUUACGCCACAAACCCCAUCCCCUUGCCAAGCAGCAAGCACACAGAGCCAUGAAAGGACAUGUGUGCCUCCCAGUUAAUGUCACCUUCACAGCUUCCAUAGGUCACAGCACCAAAACAAGAUGCAAGGCAGAGUUCUGAACAAUGCCGUGGGCCCGGGGAGAGAUGAGGAAUUUCAGGGAAGGGGAACAACAGGAAAUCAGAAAAGUCCCUGCAGCAAAGAUCCUGUGGCCCAUCAGUGGCUGCUGAGCAGUGCACAGGGAGGAGUGACACAAUGGAGUGACUAAAGGACUGCCUGGCAGCCGGCAUUCCCAUGGCCAUUGUUGGCAGCAAGGGAACUACACAGAUAGCAAACAAGAGCUGUGUUCCUAGGCACUGGCAGAGACACAUCCACUACAAAUAAAAUGAUUUCCUGAAGCUCCUCCA
rnacentral:lncRNA from 1 species